UCAGGAUGAACGCUAGCUACAGGCUUAACACAUGCAAGUCGAGGGGCAGCAUGGUCUUAGCUUGCUAAGGCCGAUGGCGACCGGCGCACGGGUGAGUAACGCGUAUCCAACCUGCCUUACACUCUUGGACAGCCUUCUGAAAGGGAGAUUAAUACAAGAUGUUAUCAUGAGUAAGCAUUUUCGCAUGAUUAAAGGUUUACCGGUGUAAGAUGGGGAUGCGUUCCAUUAGAUAGUAGGCGGGGUAACGGCCCACCUAGUCUUCGAUGGAUAGGGGUUCUGAGAGGAAGGUCCCCCACAUUGGAACUGAGACACGGUCCAAACUCCUACGGGAGGCAGCAGUGAGGAAUAUUGGUCAAUGGACGAGAGUCUGAACCAGCCAAGUAGCGUGAAGGAUGAAGGUUCUAUGGAUUGUAAACUUCUUUUAUACGGGAAUAAACGGAUCCACGUGUGGAUUUUUGCAUGUACCGUAUGAAUAAGGAUCGGCUAACUCCGUGCCAGCAGCCGCGGUAAUACGGAGGAUCCGAGCGUUAUCCGGAUUUAUUGGGUUUAAAGGGAGCGUAGAUGGGUUGUUAAGUCAGUUGUGAAAGUUUGCGGCUCAACCGUAAAAUUGCAAUUGAUACUGGCAGUCUUGAGUACAGUUGAGGUAGGCGGAAUUCGUGGUGUAGCGGUGAAAUGCUUAGAUAUCACGAAGAACUCCGAUUGCGAAGGCAGCUUACUAACCUGUAACUGACAUUGAUGCUCGAAAGUGUGGGUAUCAAACAGGAUUAGAUACCCUGGUAGUCCACACGGUAAACGAUGAAUACUCGCUGUAGGCGAUAUACAGUCUGCGGCCAAGCGAAAGCAUUAAGUAUUCCACCUGGGGAGUACGCCGGCAACGGUGAAACUCAAAGGAAUUGACGGGGGCCCGCACAAGCGGAGGAACAUGUGGUUUAAUUCGAUGAUACGCGAGGAACCUUACCCGGGCUUAAAUUGCAACCGAAUAUGGCGGAAACGCUAUAGCUAGCAAUAGCGGUUGUGAAGGUGCUGCAUGGUUGUCGUCAGCUCGUGCCGUGAGGUGUCGGCUUAAGUGCCAUAACGAGCGCAACCCUUGCCGAUAGUUACUAACAGGUUAUGCUGAGGACUCUGUCGGGACUGCCAUCGUAAGAUGUGAGGAAGGUGGGGAUGACGUCAAAUCAGCACGGCCCUUACGUCCGGGGCUACACACGUGUUACAAUGGGGGGUACAGAGGGCUGCUACCACGCAAGUGGAUGCCAAUCCCAAAAACCUCUCUCAGUUCGGAUUGAAGUCUGCAACCCGACUUCAUGAAGCUGGAUUCGCUAGUAAUCGCGCAUCAGCCACGGCGCGGUGAAUACGUUCCCGGGCCUUGUACACACCGCCCGUCAAGCCAUGGGAGCCGGGGGUACCUGAAGUGCGUAACCGCAAGGAG
rnacentral:rRNA from 1 species